GGGGGGGGGGGGGGGGGGGGGGGGGGGGGGGGGGGGGGGGGGGGGGGGGGGCCCCCUGGUUACCUGUGUGACCCACC
rnacentral:miRNA from 12 species